CAAUGACUGUCAAAGGACAAUGUGCCUUUUCUUGACCAAGUUUCUCUUUAUUUGAUUUAGAAUAAGAAAAAUAGAAACUGCCCUGGCAAAACAGGGCAGAAAACUAGGCCCAAGAAGCUGUAGCAAAACAACAACCUGCUAUAUUGUGCUCUUCUCUUGCUCCCUGUGUGAAAGAACUGUGCUACUGAAGGGAUGUUGUGAAAGAAAAAUGCUCUCCGUUUGGGUUGACUUUUUCCAUGGGAUUCCCCACAACAGCCAGUUUUCUAACAUCUGCUUCAUUUUCCUUUCCCCAUUGCAGGAAAAUAUGUGUUUAGAAACAGAAGAGGCCGUCCUUCGAGGAAACUACCUCGAGCUGACCCUCCUCAGGCUCCUUCUCUUCCUUCCCUUUAUGAGGAUACAGAGGAGGAAGACAACAACGAAGCUCCACCUGUUGUUGCACCAGAGCCUGAACAGCCAAACUCUACCAAUACAUGCUCUGGAACAAAAUCUUCCACUGCCCUGGAAGCCGCUGCACUGGAAGUCGCUGACAAAGACAACACUCCCACACCUGAGAUCCCCUACCUGAGCUCUUCCAGCAGUUCCUGCAGCAGCACCAACGGGCAGCAAAAGACGGUAGAGGAGGACAGCCUAGAGAAACUGAGGAGUAUUGUGAGUGUGGGAGAUCCUAUGAAGAAGUACGUUGAAUGGGAAAUGAUUGCCAGUGGGUAAGUCUGAUCACAGUUCCUUCCACAAAGCCAGGUAUUUUGCUGGUGCAAGGUCAGGCGGGAAGUCAGACAGGCUCCAAGCAUGUUCAGACGCUGCGUUUAGAUCCUCCUGCCUCUCAGUGCUGAUCCCAAUUUAGAACUCUGGCAAGAUGGCAUCGUCAAAGACAACAGCAUGCGGAAAACAAUAGUCAGUGGUCAGCAGUAUAACCACAUCGUUUAGAAACGGAAAACAGAGAUAAAAAAGAAACUUUCUUUUGUAGCAGAAGUAGUAAAACCUAAUUCAGUAAUAGACCCAGUGUCAAGGCAGUUGAGAGGAAAAUGCAUCCUGAUGAUGGCAAAUGACCUCAAAGGUGGCUGGAGACUGGUUUCCUUACAGGCUGGAGAAAGCCAUUUCUAGAUCCUUUCCUCAAAUGGCCCCUCACAUGUGUUCAGGCUUCUCAGAGUAGGGUGUUGCCUGAGAUUGGCAGAGACCUUCAAAGGAGGGAUCUGAGAACAAAGCAGUUAGAGGUCUGAGCACUCAACAAGGCCAAAUGGAAAAAGAAGGAAAUAUAUUCCUUUCCAGUUUUUGUGGACAUGCUCCCCCACCUUAGGGAGGGGUCUGAAUUAAGUUAAUCUGGGCUGUACACUUGAGAUUUUCUCCAGCCCUUCAUGCUGCACCCAAGUUUUCUCUUGGAUACCCUGCAUGGCACAGGGCCGGUAGGCUGCUCUGCUCUUGGCUGAAGCAUACAUGGAGCCAGGUGAUUUAGAA